CUUUACUAUAGCUUUGCAGUGGUAUUAGGGAACGUAUGUGUAGGAUAGGUGGGACACUUUGAAGCAUGGGCGUCAGCUUGUGUGGAGUGGCCGGUGAAAUACCACCCUUAUGUUCCUUGAUAUCUAACUUCGUCCGGUGAAUCACGGACAAGGACCCUGCAUGGUGGGUAGUUUGACUGGGGCGGUCGCCUCCCAAAGUGUAACGGAGGCGCGCGAUGGUUAGCUCAAGCUGGUCGGAAAUCAGCUGUCGAGUGCAAUGGCACAAGCUAGCCUGACUGCGAGACGGACAUGUCAAGCAGAGACGAAAGUCGGUCAUAGUGAUCCGGUGGUUCUUCGUGGAAGGGCCAUCGCUCAACGGAUAAAAGGUA
rnacentral:rRNA from 1 species